rnacentral:rRNA from 1 species
AAUCGAAGCAGUGAACUUAAGCCCCAGUAAACGGCGGCCGUAACUAUAACGGUCCUAAGGUAGCGAAAUUCCUUGUCGGGUAAGUUCCGACCCGCACGAAAGGCGUAACGAUUUGGGCACUGUCUCAACAACAGACUCGGUGAAAUUGUAAUUCCGGUGAAGAUGCCGGAUACCUGCGACAGGACGGAAAGACCCCAUGGAGCUUUACUGUAGCUUGACAUUGGGUCUUGGUACUACAUGUACAGGAUAGGUGGGAGGCUUUGAAACCAGGACGCCAGUUUUGGCGGAGCCAUCCUUGGGAUACCACCCUUGUAGUACUGGGACUCUAACCAUAGGCCAUGAAUCUGGUCUUGGGACACUGUCAGGUGGGCAGUUUGACUGGGGCGGUCGCCUCCCAAAAGGUAACGGAGGCGCUCAAAGGUUCUCUCAGUACGGUCGGAAAUCGUACGUAGAGUGUAAAGGCAAAAGAGAGCUUGAUUGCAAGACAUACAGGUCGAGCAAGGAUGAAAAUCGGACUUAGUGAUCCGGUGGGUCUGCGUGGAAGGGCCAUCGCUCAACGGAUAAAAGCUACCCUGGGGAUAACAGGCUUAUCUCCCCCAAGAGUCCACAUCGACGGGGAGGUUUGGCACCUCGAUGUCGGCUCAUCACAUCCUGGGGCGGUAGUAGGUCCCAAGGGUUGGGCUGUUCGCCCAUUAAAGUGGUACGCGAGCUGGGUUCAGAACGUCGUG